CUGCAAAAUGUCUUGAUACACUUGGGAAUUAAUUUUUCCUUCAAUGAUAGCAAUCCGUCCAGGCCCUGACGCAGCAAAGCAGCCCCAAACCAUAAUGCUCCCACCACCAUACUUCACAGUUGGGAUGAGGUUUUGAUGUUGGUGUGCUGUGCCUUUUUUUCACCACACAUAGUGUUGUGUGUUUCCUCCAAACAACUCAACUUUGGUUUCAUCUGUCCAUAGAAUAUUUUGCCAGUACUGCUGUGGAACAUCCAGGUGCUCUUGUGCAAACUGUAAACAUGCAGCAACGUUUUGUUUGGACAGAAGUGGCUUCCUCUGUGGUAUCCUCCCAUGAAAUCCAUUCUUGUUUAGUGUUUUACGUAUUGUAGAUUCGCUAACAGGGAUGUUAGCAUUUGCCAGUGACUUUUGUAAGUCUUUAGCUGACACUCUAGGAUUCUUCUUC